rnacentral:lncRNA from 1 species
CCUUCCGAGUCUCCCACAUCGGAGCACCUGAGACUUCUAGGAGACAUUUUAGUUCUAAACUAGCUCACCUAUGUGCUCUGACCCUAGGAUUCCUAUGGAAUCCAAUAUUAAAACCCCUAUAUUAUAAUAUUUCACAAGUUAGUAACUUCUAUCAUCCAUUCAUUUUCUAAUAUUAAUUAAUGAAUAUGACAACAGCUUGACAAAUGACUAAUCACUUACUGGGAGUAAAAGGAUUACCAGCUGCCACACAGUCUUCAUCAGCAGGAGUGGAUCACUCACUUACUGCUUUAUACCCAUGGAAAGACAUUCUACCUUCAGAAAAAAGAAAGGAAGCUGCAUUAAUUAACCAGAAAGCAAAAAUCCAGUUUAUAUGAAUUUGCCUGUAAGUUCAUGGAAUGGAAGUUUAACACGUCUGAUUCUGAGUCAGAAACGCCUGCUCUGCUGAAAUCCCCACACCCCAAUGAUCUCUUUAAUGCCUGCUCUUCUCCUUGACAGUCCCUCUCUCUGUGGGACAAGCUACAGCUUUUGGAAACUAUGCUCCACAUCAAUGCUUUUGCCAUUUCUGUCUCUGCCUUUCCAGCCUAAUUUGUAGGUAAGGCAAUUCUACUCUCCUCCUUCUGUCAGUCCUGCAGAGGUGGCCCAGUCUCUCUCUUUGUACCAAGAAAAUGCCUGGUGCCUGCCCUCUUUCAGCUUCCCGAAAGCCCAAAGUCCAAAGGCUAGAGUUUGGUUUUUCAAUCCAGUUUGACUCACUCUCUUGUGAUAAUAGAUUUCUGUAACAAAGGAUAUGACUAUUUUAAGAGCCUGGAUAUGUGCUAGUAAGUAACUAUAUCUGCAGAUAAAAAUAUUAUUCCAAUUUAUAUUUUCAUCCUCACCACUACAUAAUAUUGAGAAAACAAAUUGCAAGAUUAGUGAUGAAAACAGGGAAAGAAGGAAAAGGCCGGGGUUGAGAAG